rnacentral:lncRNA from 12 species
CCCGUGGCUCCACAAACUGCUGGAAUCCAUCACCUGGAUUGUUGGGACAUUUAGCAGAGGAGCAGAUGUAGCUGGAGCAGUCACCACCAGGUACAUCCCAUCACCUCAGAGUCAUCCCCAGGUACAUCCCAUCACCUCAGAGUCACCACCAGGUACAUCCCAUCACCUCAGAGUCACCACCAGGUACAUCCCAUCUCCUCAGGAACGUCCCAGAACUGGUGAUGCUGCAGCCCCAGUGCAGGUGGGGCUCCCCUGUGCCCAGGAAGUGUGGACACUGCUGAAGGAUUGUAGAGAAACCUAAUCUGGUUUUUUCCCAGGCUCUUGACUUUUCUCAGCUCCAGCUUGGAUCUUUCCCAAGCUGAGGAUCUUUCUCAGAGACGAAACAAGGGAAAGAAGAAGGAAAACACAGAUGGACACCUGGUGUUGACCACCAAGCCAUGUGAGUGUCUUGUGAUAUUUUGCAGAGCAUGUUUUCAAAGAGGUGUCGCCUUCUUGGACCAAUGAGUCUUUUCUACUUUGUUUUUCAUGAUCUCCCUUAUAUAAAUGCCAUGGCUUUUCAAUAAAUCACUCCUUCUUACUGCCUGGAAAGAAUUUGUUGCUGUGUUCUUUUGCAGCUUCCUAGCCUU